rnacentral:lncRNA from 1 species
GCCCGGGCCGUAUAUACAUUUUGUGUCGAGCGGCAGAUAUUUUACGAUAUCUAUACGAAGAAAUCCCAAAUAUCUGUGUAUCGUUCUAUUACAGUUAUCCCCCUUUCUAAAGAAAGUUGUAACCCCUGUCAGUCCAUCUUUCCUCGUUAUGAUUUGAUGUCGUCUCUACAGUGGGAUUUCCAGUGACACUAGAACAAUAGAAAAAUCACUCUUCUUAUGAAAGAGAUAGAAAAGGUAGAAAAAAAGGAGAGACAAUUUACGCAUACAAACCGAUAUGCAUAGGGAUGAAUAUCUCUUAAAACACAAAACAUUAUAUAACUUUUAUACAAC